CAAGGAGCUGGGUGGGACUGAACCAGGAUAGCUGACCUAAACUGGCCAAAGGGCUAUUAUAUAUCAUAUGACAUCAUGCCAAAAAAAAAAAACACUUGAAAUAUGGUGGGGAAUUGGCCAGGCAAGCAGCUGCUGCUCAGGGACUGGCUGGGCAUUGGUCAACAUGUGGGGAACAAUUGCUUCUGAAUCACUUGUUCAUUACUAUUAUCUUAUUUUCCCUUUCCUUUUCUAUCUUAGGAAAUAGUUUUUAUCUCAGCCCUCUGAUUCUAGUUGGUGUUAGUUUUCAUUUUUUCCUUUCUAAUCUCUGGCCAUUGCCACUGGGAGUGGGGGGUGAGUGAACAACUGCGUGCUUCUAAGCUGCCUGCCAGGUUAAACCACAACAACUUAAAAGUAAUAUAGAAGCAGGAAAGCAGCAAUUUUGUUCAUUUUAUUUUUGAGAAGUUGCAACAUUUAUCCAUGCUUUGCUGGCUUUGUGGAGCCCUGAUGAAGUGCCUCCAAUAAGCAAGCAAUGGCAUCUAAAUAAUUUAAGGGAACAUUCACAGCAUUAUAAUAACUACUAACCCAUCUGAAGAGUAAAGGUCAGUAAAUCUAUUAGGGUUCUUGUGCUUUGCCUUGCUGAUAUUUCCAAUUCUGUUAGCUCAUUUCCCUCUUAUUUUUAAGAAAGGCUGUACAAUUUGACCUUGAAUUGAUUAGUGGCUUAUACCUUUAAUUGUACUGCAAGCAGCAGUUAUAAAAACACAAGAAAGACGAGACUACAUAAACAUUGACAAACUUUUUUAGUUCAGUUUUAAUUAGCAUUUCCUCGGCUAAUUGUGGUCCAGUAGACUAUGCAAUAUCACACAAUCAGCUAUAAUUGUAUUCACAUCAGAAAUUGUUUAACAGGUUUGUGACCCAUUAAUAAAUUAAAUUCAUUUAGCAAUAUGGCACUCAUCGCCCAACUUUCACUGAAAGCAUUCAGCUGCAGAAGUUCAGUGCACUGGCUAAAAGGUAAGAGGCACAGGCUUCUCUUCAUUGUUUUGAUACUGCCUCAUGCUAUAACCACAAGCUCAGUCUUCCUGUGUCAUUUGUUUUCUGUCUGUAUCAGUGCUAUUGAAGAUAACAGGAAAAAAAACAACAACAACAAAAAAAAAACCACUCUUCUUUGAAGAUUGCUGGCAGCGAAAAUAAAUUGCUCAAUAUUAUGAGGAUUAGAAUUAGUAUUUCUGUUGGAUCAAGGACAAAAGUCAAAGAAAAUUGAGAUUUAUGAACCUCACAAUAAGGUACAUGUUGUUUGGAUUGAAGCUGGAGGAGCAAAAUAUUCUUCUGCUAAAAAAAAGAGAAAGUUGGGGGAGGAAAAGCAACUGCUGGCAUUUGUGGAGAGCCAACUGCCAGACAGGAUGAAUGCUUUAAAAAAAAGCCACCCAACAGGGGUGAAGUUCAUUUCACUGGUUUGUGAUAUUGCUAAGUUAGAUGCUUAAGCCUAAGUUGAUGUUGUGCUCCAUUUCAAACCCAAGGAUGGAAAGAACCUCCUUAUAUUGACAGCUCAUCAGGUUUGUACUACAGGUAUAUUUCUGAACAAGCUGAAUUGCUCUGUUUGCACAUUUGCUUGUGUAGUCAAUAGAUGAUAGUUAAGGUAGCCUGGGAAACCUAGCUUAAAAUGAG
ensembl:lncRNA